rfam:Zostera marina strain Finnish scaffold_268, whole genome shotgun sequence.
GCUGAGCUCGAUAACGUGGGCUUGUCACCAAGUGGAGCAUUAAGAUAUUUGAAUAAUUUAGUAUUGAGCUCAAGGUUGACAUUAUGAGCUAGCUUUGAUUUGCCUGUUUCCAAGUUGGGCAGUGGAUGCUAUGUUUCAGGCUAACGCUUGAAUCAUAUUCUCCCUAAACUUAAGGGUAAUGCGUGAGGCUGGUUUCACAGAGCAGCGAUUACUUCUCACUCUCAACUUACAAGUCAUUUGCUCAUAUUGUCAAUUAGCCUUGGAAUCCACCAAAUUCAACAAAUAUUUUU